CGGACGGGUGAGUAAUGUCUGGGAAACUGCCUGAUGGAGGGGGAGUAACUACUGGAAACGGUAGCUAAUACCGCAUAACGUCGCAAGACCAAAGAGGGGGACCUUCGGGCCUCUUGCCAUCAGAUGUGCCCAGAUGGGAUUAGCUGGUAGGUGGGGUAACGGCUCACCUAGGCGACGAUCCCUAGCUGGUCUGAGAGGAUGACCAGCCACACUGGAACUGAGACACGGUCCAGACUCCUACGGGAGGCAGCAUG
rnacentral:rRNA from 1 species